UACAGAGGUCUCAAGCGUUGUUCGGAUUCAUUGGGCGUAAAGGGCUCGUAGGUGGCCAACUAAGUCAGACGUGAAAUCCCUCGGCUUAACCGGGGAACUGCGUCUGAUACUGGAUGGCUUGAGUUCGGGAGAGGGAUGCGGAAUUCCAGGUGUAGCGGUGAAAUGCGUAGAUAUCUGGAGGAACACCGGUGGCGAAGGCGGCAUCCUGGACCGACACUGACGCUGAGGAGCGAAAGCCAGGGGAGCAAACGGG
rnacentral:rRNA from 1 species